rnacentral:lncRNA from 1 species
UUUUUGGAUACUUAGAGAUUUUAAGGUCAAAACUUUAUUACUUUACAUUUAUAAUUGUUUUUAUUUCUAAAGUUUUUUUAAAAAAAAUUUGAACGAAGCGAGGUUAUUUGCUACCGUUCUCUCUAAAAAAAAAAAAAAUGGAAAACAAAAAUAUUAUGCCUUUUCUAAUAAAUAUCACACAUACUAUUUUGGUAACAGAUAAUUUCAUAUAGAAUAUGCAUCACAUCAAUUGCAUUAAUCAAGAAAUGUAAUUUACAUUAACCGAUAUGUGUAAAAAAAUGAAAAAAAAAAAGUUUAUGUACUAUUACAUAAGAAGGCAAUAUUUUGUGCCGUGUUCAUUUUUGCUUAUAUUACCAACUACAUAUUUUUAUUUUUACAAAAUAAAAAAUUAAAUAAAUAAAUAAAAAUAAAAAUAAAA